ensembl:rRNA 5S_rRNA 5S ribosomal RNA
CUCUACGGCCAUAUCACCCUGAGUACCCCUGAUCUCAUCUGAUCUCAUCAGCUAAGCAGGGUCGGGCCUGGUUAGUACUUGAAUGGGAGACAGACCUUCAGAGGAGCCUACUCAGAGACACGCAGUUUGGAGA